AGUCGUACGCUUCUUUUUCCCCGGAGCUUGCUCCACCGGAAAAAGAAGAGUGGCGAACGGGUGAGUAACACGUGGGUAACCUGCCCAUCAGAAGGGGAUAACACUUGGAAACAGGUGCUAAUACCGUAUAACAAUCGAAACCGCAUGGUUUUGAUUUGAAAGGCGCUUUCGGGUGUCGCUGAUGGAUGGACCCGCGGUGCAUUAGCUAGUUGGUGAGGUAACGGCUCACCAAGGCCACGAUGCAUAGCCGACCUGAGAGGGUGAUCGGCCACAUUGGGACUGAGACACGGCCCAAACUCCUACGGGAGGCAGCAGUAGGGAAUCUUCGGCAAUGGACGAAAGUCUGACCGAGCAACGCCGCGUGAGUGAAGAAGGUUUUCGGAUCGUAAAACUCUGUUGUUAGAGAAGAACAAGGAUGAGAGUAACUGUUCAUCCCUUGACGGUAUCUAACCAGAAAGCCACGGCUAACUACGUGCCAGCAGCCGCGGUAAUACGUAGGUGGCAAGCGUUGUCCGGAUUUAUUGGGCGUAAAGCGAGCGCAGGCGGUUUCUUAAGUCUGAUGUGAAAGCCCCCGGCUCAACCGGGGAGGGUCAUUGGAAACUGGGAGACUUGAGUGCAGAAGAGGAGAGUGGAAUUCCAUGUGUAGCGGUGAAAUGCGUAGAUAUAUGGAGGAACACCAGUGGCGAAGGCGGCUCUCUGGUCUGUAACUGACGCUGAGGCUCGAAAGCGUGGGGAGCAAACAGGAUUAGAUACCCUGGUAGUCCACGCCGUAAACGAUGAGUGCUAAGUGUUGGAGGGUUUCCGCCCUUCAGUGCUGCAGCUAACGCAUUAAGCACUCCGCCUGGGGAGUACGACCGCAAGGUUGAAACUCAAAGGAAUUGACGGGGGCCCGCACAAGCGGUGGAGCAUGUGGUUUAAUUCGAAGCAACGCGAAGAACCUUACCAGGUCUUGACAUCCUUUGACCACUCUAGAGAUAGAGCUUCCCCUUCGGGGGCAAAGUGACAGGUGGUGCAUGGUUGUCGUCAGCUCGUGUCGUGAGAUGUUGGGUUAAGUCCCGCAACGAGCGCAACCCUUAUUGUUAGUUGCCAUCAUUCAGUUGGGCACUCUAGCAAGACUGCCGGUGACAAACCGGAGGAAGGUGGGGAUGACGUCAAAUCAUCAUGCCCCUUAUGACCUGGGCUACACACGUGCUACAAUGGGAAGUACAACGAGUCGCGAAGUCGCGAGGCUAAGCUAAUCUCUUAAAGCUUCUCUCAGUUCGGAUUGUAGGCUGCAACUCGCCUACAUGAAGCCGGAAUCGCUAGUAAUCGCGGAUCAGCACGCCGCGGUGAAUACGUUCCCGGGCCUUGUACACACCGCCCGUCACACCACGAGAGUUUGUAACACCCGAAGUCGGUGAGGUAACCUUUGGAGCCAG
rnacentral:rRNA from 1 species